rnacentral:rRNA from 1 species
AUUGAACGCUGGCGGCAUGCCUUACACAUGCAAGUCGAACGGCAGCGCGGACUUCGGUCUGGCGGCGAGUGGCGAACGGGUGAGUAAUACAUCGGAACGUACCCUGUUGUGGGGGAUAACUAGUCGAAAGAUUAGCUAAUACCGCAUACGACCUGAGGGUGAACGGGGGGGACCGCCAGGCCUCAAGGAGCAGGAGCGGCCGAUGUCUGAUUAGCUAGUUGGGGGGGUAAAGGCCCACCAAGGCGACGAUCAGUAGCGGGUCUGAGAGGACGAUCAGCCACACUGGGACUGAGACACGGCCCAGACUCCUACGGGAGGCAGCAGUGGGGAAUUUUGGACAAUGGGGGCAACCCUGAUCCAGCAAUGCCGCGUGUGUGAAGAAGGCCUUCGGGUUGUAAAGCACUUUUGUCCGGAAAGAAAUCGCGCUGGUUAAUACCUGGCGUGGAUGACGGUACCGGAAGAAUAAGCACCGGCUAACUACGUGCCAGCCGCCGCGGUAA